rnacentral:rRNA from 1 species
GGGUCAAUAAGUUGGUCGUGCCAAUGGUAUGYACUGGCUUUAUUGAUUCCUACCUCUUGACGAACUGUGAUGCCAUUAAUUUGGUGUYGCAGGYAAUCAGGACUGUUACCUUGAAAAAAUUAGAGUGUUUAAAGCAGGCUUACGCUUGAAUACAUUAGCAUGGAAUAAUGAAAUAGGACGUUUGAACCUAUUUUGUUGGUUUCUAGGAUCGACGUA